UACGGAGGGUGCAAGCGUUAUCCGGAUUCACUGGGUUUAAAGGGUGCGUAGGCGGGCAGGUAAGUCCGUGGUGAAAUCUCUGAGCUUAACUCAGAAACUGCCAUGGAUACUAUUUGUCUUGAAUGUUGUGGAGGUAAGCGGAAUAUGUCAUGUAGCGGUGAAAUGCUUAGAUAUGACAUAGAACACCCAUUGCGAAGGCAGCUUACUACACAACGAUUGACGCUGAGGCACGAAAGCGUGGGGAUCAAACAGG
rnacentral:rRNA from 1 species